AUAAUACUUCAACAAAACUGACAUUAUAAAUAUAUCUGUUACUUUAUUUCAUAUUUUCUGAUUUUUGUAAUUUUAAAUAAAAAUGAAGAUUUAAAAAUAAACGAGGACAAAUCUUACAAAAUUGUUGAUGGUUUUAUAAACUGUGGCUACCUAUAUCUCCUAAAUCAAUCUCAUAUCUGGGGCAAUAAAACCACUGUUGAUGAUGAAGAAAUUUGGAGCAUGCGUUCUCUUUGGCAAUUUGAGCAUGUCGUUAUUGCAAAAUUGGUGCUCAUUAAAAAUAUAAAGUAUUUGGUAUUUCCAAAAACGUAUUUAAUUAAAAAAUGCCCACCAGAGAUAGUGAAAAUCUUAAAGAAACAAAAAGAUAUUAUCUAUAAAACAGUAUUAUGCAGUAGCAAAAAGUUAUAAAAUAACGUUAUGUCAUAGUCAACCCAGUUCACCGCAAAUUUUACAUAACUGUAUAAAGCAAUAUGUUCAUGCAUGGUUUCAGUUUUACUCUUAAAUUUAUUUAUUAAACCAAGAAGAAUUCAAGUGGAAGUUACUGUGAUCAUUUAAGUGUUAGUAUUUUUUACGUUUUAACCCAUUGAAAUACAAAACUACUCAUUGAAGUCUGUCGAUAGCAGCAAUUUUCGACAUGUUUACGAAUUUAUGUUAAUACCCUUUAUUAUGCCCUCUUAUUAUGCAAAUAAGAGUUUGGACAGUUCGCAGUCCAAGCAAAAUUUUAUUUAAAUAAGAUAUUUGCUGUAUAACAUUAAUAAAUUAUCAAUUGUAAGAUAUUGUUAUAAAAACUGUUAACAGAUAAAUAAAAAUGCAUACAUAUGUACGAUAUUUGAUUACGUGGUAUACAAAACUAGAUUCCCAGCAUAUACAUAUGUACAUACAUAUAUACAUGCAAACACAUAUGUAUACAUGUUUUUUUGCAAUAUGACGUUUUGUAAACGACAGCGAAAUCAAAAUCUGUAUAAAAGAACAUUGUACUGUAUAAAUUCAUAA